rnacentral:rRNA from 1 species
AUGGAUUGCUUCACAAAAAAAGAGCAAACCAAGACCAAGACCGCAAUACCUCCACAACCACCUCAAGCAAAAUGGACGCAAACAAGAGAGAGGCCAUCUUCAGCCCUCCUUCCUCCUCGUGAUCCACUGCUGCAUCCUGCUAUGAUUACUCCGCCAUGCCCCAUCCCAGAGGGACAGCAGCCGACACCGGCGGAGUUGCGAUCAUACACGCACACGCCAGAUCUAUCAGAUUAUCUAAUACCAAGACUAAAGAUGCAAUUCAAAGAUGUAGAGAAAGCAAGGGAAUUUUAUAACAGAUACGCCAUACAUGCUGGUUUUGGAAUCAGGAAGACGGGUGGAAAUGACAACCACAAGUAUUUUGUUUGUGCCUUCCAAGGGAUACACACAUAUUCUGUUUCAGAGGCCAACAGGAAGCGAAACAAAACAUCACAGAGGAUGGGCUGCAAUGCAAGAAUGAGGGUGAAGGUGCAGGAGGAUGGCACAUGCGUGGCAGUGGACAUUGAGUACAAUCAUAAUCACGAGCUCAUGCAAACUGAUGACAUGCUGGUAUUUUUGCACUCACACAAGAAUUGUGACCCCACUAUUUUGGAGUACGUAAAGCUCCUGUAG